rnacentral:rRNA from 1 species
GAGGGAAUCUUCGGCAAUGGACGAAAGUCUGACCGAGCAACGCCGCGUGAGUGAAGAAGGAUUUCGGAUCGUAAAACUCUGUUGUUAGAGAAGAACAAGGACGUUAGUAACUGAACGUCCCCUGACGGUAUCUAACCAGAAAGCCACGGCUAACUACGUGCCAGCAGCCGCGGUAAUACGUAGGUGGCAAGCGUUGUCCGGAUUUAUUGGGCGUAAAGCGAGCGCAGGCGGUUUCUUAAGUCUGAUGUGAAAGCCCCCGGCUCAACCGGGGAGGGUCAUUGGAAACUGGGAGACUUGAAUGCAGAAGAGGAGAGUGGAAUUCCAUGUGUAGCGGUGAAAUGCGUAGAUAGAUGGAGGAACACCAGUGGCGAAGGCGGCUCUCUGGUCUGUAACUGACGCUGAGGCUCGAAAGCGUGGGGAGCAAACAGG